GAUUAUUCAUUUUAUUGCAAUAAUGAGGCCAAACUUAAUGUAUCACUUAAAAUAGAUAAGAAAUUGACUUGAUCUAAUGAUGGUAAAGAAAAUAGUAAAAUUAUAGAACUUGGUGGUUCUUCAUGUCAUGUGAUGUUUCUCUACUGAUGUUACAAAACAACCGAUAACUUAGACAUUCUCUCUCAAAAGUGAAAAGUCAAUAAAAGCAGAACGCACGGAACAAUUAAACCACUCAACAUUGUACAAAGCGCAAGAGCCCAUAUUGAAAAUGAAAACCGUUUCCUCGUCGUCUGCUCGAAGAACAAACAGCAAAAAAUUUGAUAGUAAUAAACAGGAAAGGUUCACCACGUUCAAGAGUAUUGUAUUAUUUACUUGUAUUGGCUUUCACUCUUCAGCAAACAAUCACAGAGAAACACUUUACCGGAAGUAUUGAACCAUACCUUGGAAUCACACCAGAACAGGCGCCACUGGACGCCACCGAACUAGAGCUUAAAAAACACUUGUCAAUUUCACACGAAGGAUCCUAAUUUUGUACAUUACAAAACUAAAUCUAUAUAACUUCAAAUUUACAAUAAAACUUGAUCCUUUUUCUCUAAA